rnacentral:misc_RNA from 1 species
GAUGAAGAACGCAGCGAAAUGCGAUAAGUAAUGUGAAUUGCAGAAUUCAGUGAAUCAUCGAAUCUUUGAACGCACAUUGCGCCCCUUGGUAUUCCGGGGGGCAUGCCUGUCCGAGCGUCAUUGCUGCCCUCAAGCACGGCUUGUGUGUUGGGCCUCCGUCCUCCUCCCGGGGGACGGGCCCGAAAGGCAGCGGCGACACCGCGUCCGGUCCUCGAGCGUAUGGGGCUUCGUCACCCGCUCUUGUAGGCCCGGCCGGCGCUUGCCGACACAUCAAUCUUUUUUCCAGGUUGACCUCGGAUCAGGUAGGGAUACCCGCUGAACUUAAGCAUAUCAAUAAGCGGAGGA